AUCUUAUCCUACCAUUCCAUCAUCUCCUCCAACUCCAACACUAUAAUUCCAACUGAAACACUCUAACAAAGUAUCUUCAACCUAAAACUUUCUCACCUUCCAAACAAGAGCUUCUUCAGACAACAUAUGAAACACCAAACCACAGAAGCAACAUCAUAAGCUGUCAUAUGAUGACCUUCACAACUGCAAAAUUAACAGAAUUGCCACUGAGAACCACCUCCACACUGCCCCUCAGCUCCCACUCCCUCUUAUCUAAAAUCGCCACAUUUCAAUCCCUCAAAAAACCCUUCUCCACUGCAACGUCAUCUUCACUUAGAACCAACAAAACCCCUAAAACCCAACAAAAAAACCCUAAUUGGAUCUCCAAAUGGAAGCCUUCUCAAAACCAUUCGAUCAAAAACCCUCCAUCAGAAGUCAGUCAAGAAAAGCCUCAUUAUUUCUCCAAUGACAAGGGCCAAAAUGCCAUUGAAAGAAUCGUACUACGGUUAAGAAAUUUAGGGUUAGGAUCAGACGAUGAAGAUGAAUUAGAAGGAUUGGAGGGGAGUGAAAUCAAUGGUGGUGGUUUAACGGGAGAAGAAAGACUUGGAGACUUGUUAAAGAGAGAGUGGGUCCGGCCGGAUACAGUGGUUUUCAGUAACGAUGAGGGUAGUGACAGUGAUGAAUCUGUGUUGCCAUGGGAGAGGGAAGAAAGGGGGGCAGUGGAAAUGGAAGGAGGGAUAGAGAGUGGGAGGAAAAGGAGAGGAAAGGCGCCGACUUUGGCAGAAUUGACAAUAGAAGAUGAGGAAUUGAGGAGGCUGAGGAGAAUGGGGAUGUUUAUUAGGGAGAGGAUUAGUAUUCCGAAAGCUGGGAUUACUAAUGCGGUUUUGGAGAACAUUCAUGAUAGGUGGAGGAAAGAAGAGUUGGUUAGACUUAAGUUUCAUGAGGUUCUUGCUCAUGAUAUGAAGACUGCUCACGAGAUUGUUGAGCGUCGAACAGGAGGAUUAGUUAUAUGGAGAGCAGGGAGUGUUAUGGUGGUGUUUCGUGGAACUAACUAUCAAGGGCCUCCAUCUAAGUUGCAACCUGCUGAUAGAGAAGGGGAUGCUCUCUUUGUCCCAGAUGUUUCUUCUACUGACAGUGUUAUAACGAGAAGCAGCAACAUUGCAACUUCAUCUUCUGAAAAGAGUAAAUUAGUAAUGAGGAUAACAGAACCUACUGAGAACAUGACAGAAGAGGAAGCUGAACUUAACAGCCUGCUAGAUGAUUUGGGACCCCGUUUUGAGGAGUGGUGGGGUACAGGAUUACUUCCAGUUGAUGCUGAUUUGCUUCCUCCAAAAGUUCCUUGUUACAAAACUCCUUUUAGGCUUCUUCCUGUUGGAAUGCGGGCACGGCUUACUAAUGCGGAAAUGACUAAUAUGCGAAAGCUUGCUAAAGCACUUCCUUGUCAUUUUGCCCUUGGGAGAAACAGAAACCAUCAAGGGCUGGCUGUCGCUAUACUCAAGCUUUGGGAGAAAAGCUUAGUUGCAAAGAUUGCUGUAAAACGGGGUAUCCAGAAUACAAAUAACAAACUGAUGGCAGAUGAACUAAAGAUGUUAACUGGUGGUGUAUUAUUGCUCAGAAACAAGUAUUACAUUGUAAUAUUCCGAGGAAAGGAUUUUCUGCCACAGAGUGUAGCUGCUGCUUUAGCAGAGAGACAGGAAGUGACGAAACAGAUUCAAGAUGUUGAAGAGAGAGUGCGAAGCAAUUCAGUGGAGGCAGCACCAUCAGGUGAAGAUGAAGGAAAGGCGCUUGCAGGCACAUUGGCAGAGUUUUAUGAGGCUCAAGCACGGUGGGGAAGAGAUAUAUCCACUGAAGAGCGUGAAAAGAUGAUUGAAGAAGCUUCCAAAGCUAAAACUGCGAGGCUCGUCAAACGAACUGAACAUAAAUUAGCUAUUGCCCAGGCCAAGAAGCUUAGAGCUGAGAGUCUGUUAUCCAAGAUAGAAACUACAAUGGUUCCUUCUGGUCCUGAUUUUGAUCAAGAAACAAUCAGUGAGGAGGAAAGGGUUAUGUUUCGCAGAGUUGGUUUAAGAAUGAAGGCUUACUUGCCACUAGGUAUUCGUGGUGUUUUUGAUGGUGUCAUUGAGAAUAUGCAUUUGCAUUGGAAGCAUAGAGAACUUGUGAAGCUAAUAUCCAAACAAAAGACUCUUGCAUUUGUGGAAGAUACAGCAAAAUUGUUGGAAUAUGAGAGUGGUGGGGUAUUAGUGGCAAUAGAAAGAGUUCCCAAAGGGUUUGCUCUUAUUUAUUAUCGUGGGAAGAAUUACCGUCGACCAAUCAGCAUAAGGCCAAGAAACCUUCUAACAAAGGCAAAAGCAUUGAAGCGUUCAGUGGCCAUGCAAAGACAUGAGGCCCUUAGUCAGCACAUAUUUGAAUUGGAAAAGAACAUCGAAGAAAUGGUGAAAGAAAUGGGGCUUUCUAAAGAAGAAGAGAAUGAGAAUAAUUGGAGCUCAGAGGAACAUGCCCCCUUAAAUAAUGUCUCAAAAUUAACCCAAAGUGAGGAUAAAGCUUUUUUCACCGAGUCUGAUAGCGAAGAUGAUUAUAAUGAGGGCAUUAAUUGUGAAGCUGCCGAAGAUUUUUGAAUUUUCAAGCUUCAAAAGUCAUUAUCACCGUGGAACACAAAUAAUUCACAAGUUUUACGAGGUUCCAUGAUAGGAUCAUUUGCAAUUGCAGUGGAUGAUUCUUGUACACUUUGAAGCUGGAAGGGCAUAUUGCUGUUGGAAUUAACACAAUGAAUGAUUUGCUUAGGUUUGCCUACAUAUUGUUGCAAUUCAACAAAAACCUUUGUUCACUGGCAAUUAAUUGAUUCACGCCUGAUUGCAAACUUGAGGUUCGAGUUCAACUGCAAUCUGCAUUCGUCACCGACGAAAGUCUGGUUCGCUUUCUGUUCAAACUGAACUUUGGUGAUAACAUAUUGUAUCAGUCGGUGUAGUAAAGUCAAAUUUUCCCAGGUGAAGUUACCUGUAACCAACCAGUGAUAAUGCACUCUUUCAGACUGAUUUAUCUUCAAUGAUUGUAUUUGUAAAAGCUUUAUAUAUAUUGUAAAGCGUUUUUGUGGCAAUAAAGUGUAAAACAAUUACCUUUGUA